rnacentral:lncRNA from 1 species
GGUCCAUUGGUUUUGGUUCAUCUGUAAUGGAAGUUGCAGAACUCUCUCCACCAGGUAAUUUAGGAAAAGGGAGCAACAAUCUUUUUGUUCCAGGAAAAAAUACAUGCAGAUUUAUUUCACUUGCAUAGAGUGUCUCAUAUGUUUCAGCUUUGUGGGGUCCUGAAGAAGUAUAUGAAAAAAGCUUCUUGCCCUUGUUAGUGGGGAUUAGUUCUGUUUUACUAGAUUUAGAUUCUCCACAAGGUUGUUUGUUUGGGUGCAGGGAGGAACAUCCAGCAGUUUCCUUGAUUUGCUCACACAGAAAUGAGCAUCUACUCUUGAAUAUUUUCUGCAAGUCCUUUCCAAUAUCUCCAGAAGAUUUACCAGAAUAAUCAAUGUGGAACCACUCAAGUAAGAGGGAUGGAAAAGAUG